UUAUAAUUAAGAUUAAUUAAUAAAAGAUUAAAUGAAAACAUUAAAUUUAAAAAAUUUGGCGGUAUUUUAAAUAGUUAGAGGAAUUUGUCAAUUAAAUGAUACCCCACGCUUGGAGUGUCCUAGUUAAGUUUUUAUAUAUUGUUGUAUAAAAAUUAUUUUAUAAGAAUAAUAAUUAAAAUAUUUAAUUUAAUUUUAAUAUAAAUCAAAAUGUAGAAUUAUUAGGUAGACAUGAAUUACAAUUUAAUGUAAUAUUGGAAUUAUUUUUUUAAUUAAAAUAAUGAAAGAGGAUUUAAGAGUAAAUUAAAGAAAUUUUUAAAUG
rnacentral:rRNA from 1 species